rnacentral:tRNA from 1 species
GUGUGGAUAGUAUAAAUUUAGUAUGUUUUCUUUCCAAGUAGGCGGUCUCUUAUUUUAUUAGAGUCUACACA